rnacentral:piRNA from 1 species
UAACAUUUGCUGCAUCGAAAGCAGAAAAUGU